rnacentral:lncRNA from 1 species
AAAAAAACAUGCGAGGAUUUGUAUUCAGAAUCAGAAAUAAUUCAAAUUAAAACGUUUUAAGAUACCUCUGCUUUUUUUUAAACUCAAUUCUAAUGGGCUUUUGCUUUGAAGUUUCUUUGGCGCACCCUUUCUUCUAGAUGCUAUAGGAUCUAAUACACUUUCACUUACUUCUUUGAUAGAGUACUCUAGGUGCCUAACUGUACCAUAUGAUGCGUUGAGGACACUACUAGCAGUACUCGACCAUGUUAAUAAAAGAACCUUACGAUGUGAUUCGAUCCAUUCCAUUAUCACACAAGUUUGGUCGUCAUCAUCUACAGCAAGGUCUACCACCACAGCAAAAGACUGACACAUACUGUCGUAUCUUACAUGACUAGAUGUAUAACCAACUCAUUGUAGUUUACUGUGACUCUCGCGUGUGCUCUACUAACAUCUCUUCUCCAUCAUCUCAGUAUGUACCUCUCAGGUAGUGAUUUAGUGCCAUUGUGCAUCAAUACUAAUAUCGCAUGUCUACAAAUUAUUUGUAAAACUCGAACAAGUAACAAUUGCAAAUGAUUUGACGGUUCUUUCCAUGACAAUUACAAAUUAUUCUUUUCGUCGUUGAUAUCCCUGCCUAGAAAGCAGUUUUCAAAAAGCAAGGAACCCAACACCUUCUGUUCUCUUAUGGUCCCGACAACCAACCAUUUUCAUACAAUUUAAAUGCAUCCAUCAUUGCGAUCCAACUUUCUUCAAAUUCUUCAACAAACCGGAAGUCAUACACCAAUCCAUGAAUUUGAGAAAAUAUUAAAUCCUUAUCGACGUGGUAUCCAAACUUCUCUGGAAACUUCUUCAAAAUGUGUCAUAAACACCAUCUAUGCUUUGUAUUUAGAAAAUCAAUUUGGAUUUCAUUUUUCAUGGCCCUGUGUCAAGGACCGUAGCUUUACUUAGCCCUUUGACACUAUCGCAGCCGCAGUUUGUCCAACUUUGGCUGCACAUUGUAAAUAUUUGUUCACGUUUGAGUUGUAAUUUUCUUUUCAUUGUAAUAGUUAUUUCAGUUGUAAAAUAGCUCUGAUAUUAGUAAACGUUUAGUAUGAUUCCUCAUCUUUUAAACGUCUACUCCUGUCACUUAGUUUUUUGUUCUGAAUGCUAUUAUAGGGAGU